rnacentral:rRNA from 1 species
GACGAACCGUCCAAACGUUAUUCGGAAUCACUGGGCUUAAAGGGCUCGUAGGCGGUCCAUCGCGUCGGGAGUGAAAAGCUGGGGCUCAACCCCAGUCCUGCUUCCGAUACGGGUGGACUAGAGGUAGGCAGGGGAGAACGGAAUUCCUGGUGUAGCGGUGAAAUGCGCAGAUAUCAGGAGGAACACCGGUGGCGAAGGCGGUUCUCUGGGCCUUACCUGACGCUGAGGAGCGAAAGCGUGGGGAGCAAACAGG